GCGAGGUAGCUCAGGUGGUUAGAGCAGCGGAAUCAUAAUCCGAAGGUCGCAGGUUCAAGUCCCGCUCUCGC
rnacentral:tRNA from 1 species